rnacentral:lncRNA from 10 species
AUUUCAGCCUCCACCCAGCUGCUGAACAGACAGGCACACACUGAACAGCCUCACCCGCCACAGCCUUGCUCUCAAGCGUUCUGCUUUCCUGCAUCAGCAGAAAUAAGGGGACCAAUUUAUCAUACCUGCUGGGUGCCAGAUGACGUAACUACGGCUUUGGGAUGUUACGCAACGAGUAAGGCCUUGUGAGUCUUCACAGAAAGGGACUGGCCUGGAGGCUCCGAGCGGUCAGCUAGUUCCCGUCACUGUUCUCCCCGGGAAGCUGUGGAUGGGCAGUGACCCAGGCAGGGAAAGGCCUCGGAUGGAAUUGCACUCAAGGACAUGUCUGCGUCAAAGCUUUUCUCCAAGUUCGUCUUCAGUUGCUAUUUCUGAAGCCACAUCACACCCUGAGAAACUCCUCCCUUUUCCUCUACCCUGCUUCUCCCCCCGUCUGUCUCCUUCUUGUCACUUUUAGUUGGUUUUGCACGGGAACUCUGAGGCCAUCCCAGCUGCCCUUGUCUGCCCGUGAGAAUCCCCUUCCACAGCGCCUCAAGAGCAGGAUGGAAGUUCCAAGAGUAU